CUCGGCCGGCAGAAGCACUUGCUUACCUAAGAGUAUGCCGAAGCCAAUUUACUGUUAAUGCCGAGUUGCUUUAUUCUAAGUGCAAAGGUGAAAUGAUUUCCACUCCUGACAGCUCUGGAAGAAUAACGGGAGCAUGGAGAAACACUGUCUUUGCCGAUGCCCCAACUCAGUCUUCUCCUCUGUACAGAUCCAUCAAGUUCCAGGCAUGACACGUGAUUGGCCUUAGUCCAUGGUGGAUGAAUGAACGACAUUCCCUGCACUCUCACCACUGAAUGUCAUGUGACCAGCCAUGAACCAUAAACCUGAACUUUGAGCAACUCAGUGGCAUCCUACAAUGAUCUUUGGCCCUUAUAUUUAUGAGUUUGUUUGUUUGGUUCAAAACCAUAAAGACACUAAGAGCUUCUUUGUCUAAGCUUUAUAUAUAACAGAGGAAUCUGCAGGAAAGAUUUCUCUUCUCAUAAACUCCACCCCAUCUGAAGUCCCUUUUCCCUUGUGCCCCGCGAUGCACCAACUCUACCUGGAAAAGGAUAGAGUGCUAAGUUCCUGCUCCCUCCUUGCAUCUCGCAUAUUCCAAGAUUGCAGGUAUUUGCUGAAUGCCAGUAGCAUUCUACUAGCAAUCCACUGAUGCAUAAUGAAUUACCAAAACUUAGCAGCUUGAAACGGCAAAGAUUUUUCUCAAAAUGAACAAGUUCUCUGUGGGUCUAGAAUCCAGGAGUGGAUGAGCUGGGUCACUCAUGAAGUUGGAAUCAAUCAACCAGGACGCAGUCAUGGGACAGUUCAACAGCGUCCCCCAAGCUCCCCCACAUGGCAUUGGCUCUAAGUUCCUCUCUGGCUGUUGGUUUGAGGCCUUAGUGUCUUCCCACCAAGGCCUCUCCCUAGAGUGGCAGCCAGCUUACCCAGAAGCCAGGGACCCAAGAGGGAUGGAGAGGCAAUGAGUGGAGAAUGCUCAAGGUAGAAGCCCAAGUCUUUUAUAACCUAAUCUCAGAAAUGGCACAUCACUUCGCCAAACACUGUUGGUCUUGCAGACCAGCCCUGAUACAAUGGGCAGCAGGGGCCCCUGGGGGCCACCUUGAAGCCUGGCUACUACAGAGUCAUUCUCAGCCCAUGCCUGCUAGCUCACCAGGGCAGGAAGGCAGAGGCAGGCAGUGAGCCCACAUUCUUCAACUAGGUGUUUACAACACUAUGAAGCAAAUCCCAGUUUUCUUUUCAUUUUGUUUUGUUUGUUUGUUUAUUUGUUUGUUGCUCGUUUUGGAAAUGGGGUCUCACUCUGUCACCCAGGCUGGAAUAUGGUAGCAUGAUCAUAGCUGACUACAU
rnacentral:lncRNA from 10 species